rnacentral:rRNA from 1 species
UACGAGGGGAGCAAGCGUUGUUCGGAUUUACUGGGCGUAAAGGGCGCGUAGGCGGCGCAACAAGUCACUUGUGAAAUCUCCGGGCUUAACUCGGAGCGGUCAAGUGAUACUGUCGUGCUAGAGUGCAGAAGGGGCAACUGGAAUUCUUGGUGUAGCGGUGAAAUGCGUAGAUAUCAAGAGGAACACCUGCGGCGAAGGCGGGUUGCUGGGCUGACACUGACGCUGAGGCGCGAAAGCUAGGGGAGCGAACGGG